UACGGAGGGUGCAAGCGUUAUCCGGAUUCACUGGGUUUAAAGGGUGCGUAGGUGGGCAGGUAAGUCAGUGGUGAAAUCUCCGGGCUUAACCCGGAAGCUGCCGUUGAUACUAUUUGUCUUGAAUAUUGUGGAGGUAAGCGGAAUAUGUCAUGUAGCGGUGAAAUGCUUAGAUAUGACAUAGAACACCAAUUGCGAAGGCAGCUUACUACACAAUGAUUGACACUGAGGCACGAAAGCGUGGGGAUCAAACAGG
rnacentral:rRNA from 1 species